UGACUUCUUUUAUGAUACCAAACCUUGUGCUUAACCCUUCCUUCCUCCCUCCCUCCCUCCCAACCAUCUAUCCAUCCAUCCAUCCAUCUACCCAUCCAUCUUUUCAACAAAUAUUCCCUGUCAUGGACCAGCCACCCUCGGCAGUGGAAAACAAGUGAGGUCCAGCCCAGCUCUCUGGGAGAUGUAGUCUGGUGGUCUCUGUGGAAGAAGCAAGGUGUGAAAGUAUCAACUCCUUGGGAAAACAAGACAAGUGCUCAAGUGACUGGCCAGGGCAGUAAAUGGUGUGUCUCCCAGAGCUGUGCCUGUUCAUAGGAGGAACUGAAAUCUACUUUGGAUGAUCAUAAAAUGUGUCAUUGAGAAGACGGAAUCUGCUUUGCAUCUUGGAAAUUGGGAAGGUUUAUAAUGGAUGUGUUGCACUUUGGAAGCUGGUUAAGUGAAGUAAUGCUACACUACUGAUAACGUGAAGAACCGAAGGCCUGAGCUUUGGUGCUCCCGUGAAAGAGAGACGAGGGGACAGGGAUGAGAGACUUAUGUGUUUAUUCCUCUAUGGUUGUGCAUGCAAGGGAAGAUGUGGUUGGCAGCUUCUGAGAUGACCCCGGUGAUCGCUAC